UUAAACCAAAAACAUGCUUUAAUGCCAGGCAAGAGCUACACAGUCAACUGAUUUACGGGCCACUCCAUAGGCUAUGAUUUAUAAAUUAUAUAUUAUUAAAUCCACCGUGGGCAUACAGAUGGGAUGGGACAGCACCCCCAGCUCCCUCCCACUCUGAAUGAUGUAUGAACAGUUGAGCACUCUGUAGAAUCCUUCAGGUCGUAAGCCACUUUAUUCCAGUCCCUUGAACAUCACAGGACUGGAUGGGUUUCCCUUCUUUUGCCCCAACCCCCGAGUCUUACGUUUUAGAACAGAGACAUUAGAAUAAAAAAAAAUAAUAGUAACGAUUAAAAAUCAUCAAACAAUGAACACCACGAAGUCU
rnacentral:lncRNA from 1 species